rnacentral:rRNA from 1 species
UACGUAGGGUGCGAGCGUUUGUCCGGAAUUACUGGGCGUAAAGAGUUCGUAGGCGGUUUGUCGCGUCGUUCGUGAAAACUUGGGGCUUAACUCCAAGCGUGCGGGCGAUACGGGCAGACUUGAGUACUACAGGGGAGACUGGAAUUCCGUGGUGUAGCGGUGAAAUGCGCAGAUAUCAGGAGGAACACCGGUGGCGAAGGCGGGUCUCUGGGUAGUAACUGACGCUGAGGAACGAAAGUGUGGGGAGCGAACAG